UACGUAGGGUGCGAGCGUUAAUCGGAAUUACUGGGCGUAAAGCGUGCGCAGGCGGUUCAUCGUGUCCGAUGUGAAAGCCCCGGGCUCAACCUGGGAAUGGCAUUGGAAACUGGCGGGCUUGAGUGUGGCAGAGGGGGGUGGAAUUCCGCGUGUAGCAGUGAAAUGCGUAGAGAUGCGGAGGAACACCGAUGGCGAAGGCAGCCCCCUGGGCUGACACUGACGCUCAGGCACGAAAGCGUGGGGAGCAAACAGG
rnacentral:rRNA from 1 species